rnacentral:rRNA from 1 species
UACCCAGUGGCGGACGGGUGAGUAGCGCGUGGGCAACCUGCCCCGUGCCGGGGGAUACCGCCUGGAAACAGGCGCUAAUACCGCAUAAGCGCAUACAGCCGCAUGGGUGUAUGCGGAAAGCUCCGGCGGCACGGGAUGGGCCCGCGCCCGAUUAGCCAGUUGGCGGGGUAACGGCCCACCAAAGCGACGAUCGGUAGCCGGCCUGAGAGGGCGGACGGCCACAUUGGGACUGAGACACGGCCCAAACUCCUACGGAAGGCAGCAG